UUUCUUUCACAUUACUAUAACGUUGGCCGCAACUAUCUGGGUCUUUGAGCUCUAGCUAAGGGUAAUUAUUCAUAGAUGUUAGGGUCUCCUCUUAUUUUACACAAUCCAGUUAAAAAUAUUUCCUUAAAAAAAAUUGUAAACACUUUCAAAAAUGAGAAAAAAUAAACAAACUAAUGUAUUAUUUACAUGCCCCCAAGGUAAGUGCUCUCUUUAAAAAAAAAUCAAUCAAGAAAAUCAAAAUGUAUCAAGUCAAUUAGUGAUGUUAAUUAGCCUUAAGACCCGACCAAUUUAGAUGAUUUUAUCUAAAAAUUUACUUCGACUUGAUUCGAGUCGUUAUUAUUUGAGUCAAAUCAGGCUGAAUUGUUACAAAUAAAUCGUACAAAUGAGUCGGACCGUUUUAUUGGAUGCGGCUAAUUAAUAGUCUACUAAGUCAAAUGUAUUACAAAUAAUAAGGAGUAUUUACAUAUUACAUGUAAUAUAUAACGAAUUCAAUGUUAUUUCUAAAAUCAUCCUUUCAAAUUGUCAUUCGUGUGAAUGGUUGGAUUUCCUUGAAUGCCCUUAAUUCCAGUCCUCCAUGCUUUUCGGUUAUUUAUCAUGACAAGUCAUACCCCGAAGGUCUUCGACAAUCACAUCCUACAUAACUUAUCUAGGCGUCUUUUUCUACGUUUACCUCUAACUUCUGGUCUCGCACGCUUCAAAUAUAUCUGGUCUAUCUCCUUUCUGCUGACCCAAUAAACUAACAUUACCUACCAAUACAAAUCAAGAUGAGGACUGGGAAAAAGAGAGGCUUUGAUAAUUUGCCAAGAGGGAACAGAUGAUUUAGCUACAGGAGUGAUUCUAGAAUUAGUAUCCUUCCCAGACCAACAAAACAAUAUUUUUAUACAAAAACAAGAUUUAGCCUCAGUCUUUUGUAUAAUUUGUGGAUUACAAAACAAAAUUUGUUUAGGAUUUAUACUUAACAAAUUAUCGUUAAUAAAUGGAACUCGACGAAAUAUGCCAAACUAAUUUUCUUUGAUA